UGGACUACUGGGGUUUCUAAUCCUGUUUGAUCCCCACGCUUUCGUGCAUCAGCGUCAAUCACGACUUAGUAAGCUGCCUUCGCAAUCGGAGUUCUGAGACAUAUCUAUGCAUUUCACCGCUACUUGUCUCAUUCCGCCUACCUCAUCCGCAUUCAAGCACACCAGUAUCAAAGGCACGCCGACAGUUAAGCUGCCGAAUUUCACCCCUGACUUAGCAUGCCGCCUACGCACCCUUUAAACCCAAUAAAUCCGGAUAACGCUCGGAUCCUCCGUAUUACCGCGGCGGCUGGCAC
rnacentral:misc_RNA from 1 species